rnacentral:rRNA from 1 species
UACGUAUGGUGCAAGCGUUGUCCGGAAUUACUGGGCGUAAAGAGUUCGUAGGCGGUCAAAUAAGUCAGAAGUGAAAGGCUACGGCUCAACCGUAGUAAGCUUUUGAAACUGUUUGACUUGAGUACUGGAGAGGAAAGUGGAAUUCCUAGUGUAGCGGUGAAAUGCGUAGAUAUUAGGAGGAACACCAGUGGCGAAGGCGGCUUUCUGGACAGUAACUGACGCUGAGGAACGAAAGCGUGGGGAGCAAACAGGAUUAGAUACCCUGGUAGUCCACGCCGUAAACGAUGAGAACUAGGUGUUGGUCAAAAGAUCAGUGCCGCAGCUAACGCAAUAAGUUCUCCGCCUGGGGAGUACGAUCGCAAGAUUGAA